GACAGAGGUGCCAAGCGUUAGGCGGAAUCACUGGGCUUAAAGCGUGUGUAGGCGGAUCGUUAAGUGCCUUGUGAAAUCCCACGGCUUAACCGUGGAACUGCUCGGCAUACUGGCGGUCUUGAGCCAGCUAGGGGCUACCGGAACAACUGGUGGAGCGGUGAAAUGCGUAGAUAUCAUUUGGAACGCCAAUGGUGAAAACAGGUAGCUGGGGCUGUGCUGACGCUGAGACACGAAAGCCAGGGGAGCGAACGGG
rnacentral:rRNA from 1 species